rnacentral:rRNA from 1 species
GAGUUUGAUCGUGGCUCAGGACGAACGCUGGCGGCGUGCCUAAUACAUGCAAGUCGAGCGGAUCUUCAUUAGCUUGCUUUUGAAGAUCAGCGGCGGACGGGUGAGUAACACGUGGGCAACCUGCCUGUAAGACUGGGAUAACUUCGGGAAACCGGAGCUAAUACCGGAUAAUCCUUUUCCUCUCAUGGAGGAAAAGCUGAAAGACGGUUUCGGCUGUCACUUACAGAUGGGCCCGCGGCGCAUUAGCUAGUUGGUGAGGUAACGGCUCACCAAGGCGACGAUGCGUAGCCGACCUGAGAGGGUGAUCGGCCACACUGGGACUGAGACACGGCCCAGACUCCUACGGGAGGCAGCAGUAGGGAAUCUUCCGCAAUGGACGAAAGUCUGACGGAGCAACGCCGCGUGAGCGAUGAAGGCCUCGGUCGUAAGAC